UACGUAGGGCGCAAGCGUUGUCCGGAAUUAUUGGGCGUAAAGAGCUCGUAGGCGGCUUGUCACGUCGGUUGUGAAAGCCCGGGGCUUAACCCCGGGUCUGCAGUCGAUACGGGCAGGCUAGAGUGUGGUAGGGGAGAUCGGAAUUCCUGGUGUAGCGGUGAAAUGCGCAGAUAUCAGGAGGAACACCGGUGGCGAAGGCGGAUCUCUGGGCCAUUACUGACGCUGAGGAGCGAAAGCGUGGGGAGCGAACAGG
rnacentral:rRNA from 1 species